UAUGCCUACGGGAGGCAGCAGUGGGGAAUAUUGGGCAAUGGGCGCAAGCCUGACCCAGCAACGCCGCGUGAAGGAAGAAGGCUUUCGGGUUGUAAACUCCUUUUAUCAGGGACGAAGCAAAUGACGGUACCUGAUGAAUAAGCCACGGCUAACUACGUGCCAGCAGCCGCGGUAAUACGUAGGUGGCAAGCGUUAUCCGGAUUUACUGGGUGUAAAGGGCGUGUAGGCGGGAGUGCAAGUCAGAUGUGAAAAC
rnacentral:rRNA from 1 species